UCAGACGAUGCGUCAUGCAUAUCAAUAAGCGGAGGAAAAGAAACUAACAAGGAUUCCCUUAGUAACGGCGAGUGAAGCGGGAAGAGCUCAAAUUUGAAAUCUUCAAGGUUUUACCUUGACGAAUUGUAGUUUAAAGAAGUGUUUUCUGUUGAAGUUUUGGUAAAAGUUCUUUGGAAUAGGACAUCAUAGAGGGUGAGAAUCCCGUAUUUGACCAUUAUUUUCAGCUGUGUGAUACACUUUCAAAGAGUCGGAUUGUUUGGGAAUGCAGUCCAAAAUGGGUGGUAAAUUUCAUCUAAAGCUAAAUAGUUGGCGAGAGACCGAUAGCGAACAAGUACCGUGAGGGAAAGAUGAAAAGAACUUUGAAAAGAGAGUUAAACAGUACGUGAAAUUGUCAAAAGGGAAGCGUUUGACACCAGUGUUGUUUUCUCGAAAAUCAAUAAAAAAGAGUUGGAUUUUGUGUUGUAUUGACCUUAACAGCUUGCUUCACUCUUUUCCUGCUUUUUUUUAAUGCACUUUUCGUUUAACAAGUCAACAUCAGUUUCUUUUGUUGUAAAAGGGUCAUUGGAAGGUGGCUUUCUCUUCGGAGAAAGUGUUUAUAGCCUUUGAUCUCUGCAAUCGGAGAGACUGAGGUCUGCAGCGUAGAUCCUUCGGGGUUAGAUACAUUUGUGCUAAGCUACAGCUUUUCAUAGACAACUUGUUGACUAUGUUUAGUCUUGUAACUUACCCGCUUAUGCUAUGUUACCUACGCUUAGGAUGUUGAUAUGCAUGACUGAUAU
rnacentral:rRNA from 1 species